AACAUCAGCUAGCUACGUAGCUAGCACAAUUGCAGACGUCAUAAAAGACGAUCGACUAAGGUCUUCAUUAGUUACACCUAAAAACUAAAAACUGUUCAAGAUUCUCUAUCAUAUCAAAUCUUGCGGUUUAUGCAUGGAGCAUUAAAUAUAAAUGAAAAUAAUAACUAAUUGCAUAGUUUGCUAAUAAUUUGUGAGAUGAAAUUUUUGAGCCUAGUUAGUCCAUAAUUAAAUAAUAAUUGCUAAAUACAAAUAAAAGUACUACCGUACUAAAAAAAAAUUUCACCCAAACAACUAA
rnacentral:lncRNA from 1 species